UCAAAACUGGUCUCCUGAAACGUGGA
rnacentral:piRNA from 1 species